rnacentral:rRNA from 1 species
CCUACGGGUGGCUGCAGUGGGGAAUAUUGGGCAAGGGAGGCAACUCUGACCCAGCAACGCCGCGUGAAUGAUGAAGGUCUUCGGAGUGUAAAGUUCUGUGAGGGGGGAGGAACACAAUGACGGUACCCCAAUAGCAAGCCACGGCUAACUACGGGCCAGCCGCCGCGGUAAUACGUAGGUGGCAAGCGUUAUCCGGAAUGACUGGGCGUAAAGGGUGCGUAGGGGGUUGAGUAAGUUGGCGGUGUAAUUCCGGGGCUCAACCUCGGCGCUACCGCCCAAACUAUUAGACUAGAGUGCAGGAGGGGUAAGUCGCAUUCCUCGUGUAGCGGUCUAAUGUGUCGAUAUUAG